CUGGAAUUGCAAAGACAUUCCACCAAUUGAAUAAGGUGCUUCCUUAUUCCUAGCUACCCUACUGUCCAACAGCAUCUGUAUCGCCUACUCUGAGUAGCAGUGGCUUUCCAAGGUCAAAGUCUUUUCCAUCACCUGCUACCUGAUCAUUGGCUACGCUUGCUGGGGCCGAUGAGAGCUGGGUUCCUGCAACGUCUGGAGAGUCACCGCUUCCUGCGGUUCCUGGGAAAUGGUCAGGGAUUGAAUCUGAAACAUUCUACAUUCAAAGCAUGUGUUUUUAAGUAUAGCAAUUUAAUUCACCGAAAUUGAAAAUGCUUGUAUGCAUUACCAGGUUGCUUAAAUUUGAUUGGUUGCUAAAUGAAUUCUAGAGUCUAGUAGUUCUCAUGCGACUGGCUAACGUUGGUCGCAUGGGAGGUAUCUAGUGAAGGAAAGACUCCAAUUUUAUGUGCGACAAGAUGACUGUGUUUUAGAAUCCACUGUGAACACUGCUAAGUUGAAUGAGUGUGGGAGCGCUUCUUCUUUGGAGGUCUCCCAUAGGAGCUGCAAGGCAUGGCCUAUUGAGAUACAGAAGACUGAAAGUGCUGAGCUCUGGAAAGAGAGGAAAAUACACUUGUUUGGAAGUUAGAAGAAGAGACUGUAAGCCCAUGCUUGGACAAGCACGGGGCUGUAAAUGUUGUGCUUUAAUUCAUCUAUAAGUUUCUGCAAGUAAAGUUUAUUAAUGUUGAAGUCUGGAAUUGGUUUCCAAUUUCCAAAGAAGGGUGUCAGUGAUAUACUGUAUUUAUCGCUCCAUAGGACGCACCUUUUCCCCUCCAAAAAUGAAGGGGAAAUGUGUGCGUCCUAUGGAGCGAAUGCAGCUUUCGCUGAAGCCUGGAAAGCGAGAGGGGUCGGUGCGCACCGGCCCUCUCGCUCUCCAGGCUUCAGGAAGCUAUCCGCAAGCCUUCAGAUGGAUCCCGCUCGCAGUCUUGGCUUCUUUGUUCUUUGGGGCUGGGGGCAAUAAUUUUCCCCUUAUUUCCCCGUAAAAACUAGGUGCGCCCUAUGGAGCGAAAAAUACGGUAUAUGAUUUGAGCUUCUUAGCUGUGAUUUUGCUACUGUUAUUUCAACAUGUGUCUUGUUACUAGCGAUGGCACAAACCAGGUUGCAUAACCAAAUCACAAUAUGGGAUCUGUUCUGGGAUCUAAAUUACACUAGUGCCUAUGUCUGCAAUGUAUGUUACAUGGCAGAAAAGUCCACUGGGAAAACUGGAAUGUUCAAAAUUCUUACCAGGAAUCUUUUUGGCCCAGGCAAUCAUGUGGACCAGUUCUUUGUCUGCAAGCUUCGUCAGCGACAUCAUCAUGGAGGCUUCUGUAAAUGGUUUGCUGGGGCGGCUCACCAACACAUUUGGUGGCUCGGCUUCAAGUAAUAUGGAAACGAACUGUUCCGGGGUCAGUGCAUUGACCAGCAGUUCUUUUACUUGAAUUAUGGCUUCAUUGUUCUUCUUAACUUUGCCUACGCAGUGCACGGGAUCGUCUGAGUUACGGUGGCGGCGAAUUAUGCGAUAGCCACAGCGCUCUCUUCUUGAACCUGAAAUUCACAAUAUUUCAGAACUAAAGGAAGUUUUUCAUUAACCCAGUCACCACAUUUCCCUUGUGC